AGAGUUUGAUCCUGGCUCAGGAUGAACGCUAGCGGCAGGCUUAAUACAUGCAAGUCGAGGGGCAGCACGUCUUCGGAUGGUGGCGACCGGCGCACGGGUGCGUAACACGUAUGCAACCUACCUUUAACUGGGGAAUAGCCCCGAGAAAUCGGGAUUAAUACCCCAUAAUAUUCAUUUUUCGCAUGAUUUAUGAAUUAAAACUCCGGUGGUUAAAGAUGGGCAUGCGCGACAUUAGUUAGUUGGUGAGGUAACGGCUCACCAAGACAGCGAUGUCUAGGGGUUCUGAGAGGAAUAUCCCCACACUGGUACUGAGACACGGACCAGACUCCUACGGGAGGCAGCAGUAAGGAAUAUUGGUCAAUGGGCGAAAGCCUGAACCAGCCAUGCCGCGUGCAGGAUGAAGGCCCUAUGGGUUGUAAACUGCUUUUAUAUAGGAAGAAACUCCCGUACGUGUACGGGACUGACGGUACUAUACGAAUAAGGACCGGCUAACUCCGUGCCAGCAGCCGCGGUAAUACGGAGGGUCCAAGCGUUAUCCGGAUUUAUUGGGUUUAAAGGGUGCGCAGGCGGACCGAUAAGUCAGUGGUGAAAUCCUACAGCUCAACUGUAGAACUGCCAUUGAUACUGUCGAUCUUGAGUACGGUUGAAGUAGGCGGAAUGUAUCAUGUAGCGGUGAAAUGCAUAGAUAUGAUACAGAACUCCGAUAGCGAAGGCAGCUUACUAAGCCGUAACUGACGCUCAGGCACGAAAGCGUGGGGAGCAAACAGGAUUAGAUACCCUGGUAGUCCACGCCGUAAACGAUGAUCACUCGUUGUUGGCAAUACACAGUCAGCGACUGAACGAAAGCAUUAAGUGAUCCACCUGGGAAGUACGAUCGCAAGGUUGAAACUCAAAGGAAUUGACGGGGGCCCGCACAAGCGGAGGAGCAUGUGGUUUAAUUCGAUGAUACGCGAGGAACCUUACCUGGGCUUAAAUGUAUAAUGACCGGCUGGGAAGCCAGUCUUCUCUUCGGAGCAUUUUACAAGGUGCUGCAUCGUUGUCGUCAGCUCGUGCCGUGAGGUGUCGGGUUAAGUCCCAUAACGAGCGCAACCCCUAUUCUUAGUUGCCAUCAGAUAAUGCUGGGGACUCUAAGGAAACUGCCUACGCAAGUAGUGAGGAAGGUGGGGAUGACGUCAAAUCAGCACGGCCCUUAUGUCCAGGGCUACACACGUGCUACAAUGGUCGGUACAGAGGGUCGCUACCUGGUGACAGGAUGCUAAUCUCAAAAACCGAUCUCAGUUCAGAUCGAAGUCUGCAACUCGACUUCGUGAAGCUGGAUUCGCUAGUAAUCGCAUAUCAGCAAUGGUGCGGUGAAUACGUUCCCGGGCCUUGUACACACCGCCCGUCACACCAUGGGAGUUGGUUGCACCAGAAGUAGGUAGCUUAACCUUCGGGAGGGCGCUUACCACGGUGUGGUCAAUGACUGGGGUGAAGUCG
rnacentral:rRNA from 1 species